rnacentral:tRNA from 1 species
AGACCCCUGGAUAUGGGUCUACCUCUCACUACGGAUCAGAAGGUUGGGAGUUCGAAUCUUCCCGGGCGCGCCA